rnacentral:lncRNA from 1 species
CUUUAACAAAACCCUAGAUUUCUAUUUGUUCAUCCUUCUUCUCCUUCAAGCUCUGGAAUCCAUCAACCUCAAAUCGAUUCAACCAUCAGGUAUGUUUUGGUUCCGAUAAUCGACGCCGCCACAUUAGAUAUUCUGCUUUUGUGCUCUACGAUUAUCUUCAAGAUUCUUGAGAAGGUUUAGAGUCUAAAACUUUAAGAUUACCAAAAGUACCAGAUGCCAACAGGCUUUGGAUUCCUCAGGUUUUUGAACAGGAGAAAUCAUAAACGAAUAACAAUCCAUGGUAGCUUUCUGUUGACUAGCAUUCAGAUCAUAUGGAUCAGAUGUAAACGGGGUGACUUUUAAUUGUCUUCUUAGCGAUCUUUGUAAUCGGGAAAAAAAAUAUUGCAGACGAAUAAGCUAAGGAUGUUGGCUUCUGGAAAAGGGGUAUGGCUUAAUGAGGAAUUUAUUCUGAGCUCAGCAAAUGGAGAAUUACGUUCCCUCAUAUCCAAGCUGUGUUGGUCGAUGCAGGUUUUUACUUUCGGGUCAGUGCCCCUUAAAAGAGAAGUUUACUCUUGAUGCAAAGGAUUUCAAGCUAUAUGAGGAAAUUGUUGAAUGAGUUAGUGCCUCAUGUAUUGAGCUCUUUGUGUUCCUUUGAACCAGACGGUUGCCAGCAGGGUUCUUGAUUUGGAAAAAAGUUGUAACAAUGACCUGGUCAUUGAAAACCAAAAACCUGGUUCUUAGUGAAGAAAUGAUUUCUACUUGUGUGUUGAAGUAAGUGUGUGCUGCAACAAGUUACAGACAACUGAAUUUGGUUGUGAAGGAACAUAUAGGAACAACAUCGGCUUUUGUUCAGGUUAUAAAACAAUGAUAAACCUUUUUUGUAUUACAAUUAGAUAGAUUCCAUGGUUGUGCAAUCAUUUAAAGAAAAAUAAUAAUCCGA